UACGGAGGGUGCGAGCGUUGUCCGGAAUCAUUGGGCGUAAAGGGCUCGUAGGCGGCCAACUAAGUCAGACGUGAAAUCCCCAGGCUCAACCUGGGAACUGCGUCUGAUACUGGUUGGCUUGAAUCCGGGAGAGGGAUGCAGAAUUCCUGGUGUAGCGGUGGAAUGCGCAGAUAUCAGGAGGAACACCAAUAGCGAAGGCAGCUCGCUGGGACGUUACUGACACUGAGGCGCGAAAGCGUGGGGAGCGAACAGG
rnacentral:rRNA from 1 species